UGGGGAUGAAACAUUUAUUUUGUAUUUGAUUUUUGUGUUCAUGUAUAAAAUACUGCUUGCAGUAAUAAAUGUUAAAAAUAGUGUUCUGGUGGGAUGGGACAGGUGAAUAAGUGAGUGUAUGUGUGAUUCAAAUAGGCUGUGGGAAAAGGGGGGCACAGAAGAUUGUGUAUCUCUGCUGGCUUUGAAGUGCAUCUGAGGCCAGUCGUGUGUAAUCUAGAGGCUUUCAUUGUAAAUUGUCUGAUGAUUGGAGCCUCACAGCUACUCACCUUGGCAUCAUGCAAUCUCUAACAACUGCAUUUUUGCAGUGUUCCUGUAAUCUGAUCCAA